AUUGAACGCUGGCGGCAGGCUUAACACAUGCAAGUCGAGCGAGCGGCGGACGGGUGAGUAAUUUCUGGGAAACUGCCUGAUGGAGGGGGAUAACUACUGGAAACGGUAGCUAAUACCGCAUACCAUCAGAUGUGCCCAGAUGGGAUUAGCUAGUAGGUGGGGUAAUGGCGGACCUAGGCGACGAUCCCUAGCUGGUCUGAGAGGAUGACCAGCCACACUGGAACUGAGACACGGUGCAGACUCCGACGGGAGGCAGCAGUGGGGAAGAUUGCACAGUGGGCGGAAGCCUGAUGCUGCCAUGCGGCGUGUGUGACGAAGGCCGUGGGGUUGUAAAGCAGUUUAAGCGAUGAGGCGUUACUCGCAGAGGAAGCACCGGCUAACCCCGUGCCAGCAGCCGCGGUAAUUC
rnacentral:rRNA from 1 species